GCGUGACGGCGCGAGCAGGUGCGAAAGCAGGUCAUAGUGAUCCGGUGGUUCUGAAUGGAAGGGCCAUCGCUCAACGGAUAAAAGGUACUCCGGGGAUAACAGGCUGAUACCGCCCAAGAGUUCAUAUCGACGGCGGUGUUUGGCACCUCGAUGUCGGCUCAUCACAUCCUGGGGCUGAAGUAGGUCCCAAGGGUAUGGCUGUUCGCCAUUUAAAGUGGUACGCGAGCUGGGUUUAGAACGUCGUGAGACAGUUCGGUCCCUAUCUGCCGUGGGCGCUGGAGAACUGAGGGGGGCUGCUCCUAGUACGAGAGGACCGGAGUGGACGCAUCACUGGUGUUCGGGUUGUCAUGCCAAU
rnacentral:rRNA from 1 species